rnacentral:lncRNA from 1 species
CACAUACUUCCAGUUUUGUGAUUAUCUGCUCACUAUGCAACAAAUACUUCUAGUGUUACUUCAAGCAUAAUUGUCAUUUACCAUAUUUCUCUUCCAGGUACCAGCAGAAAUCUUUCUGGUUAAGACUAGAAGACUACUUAUGACAAGAAUUAUACUGAUGAUGGCAAAUAUACUAGUUACAAUCACUGUAUCCAAGGACACUGUCAACAAGGAUAAAAUUAUACCUCUACCUUGGAAGACAGCUAUACAGUUGGAAGGAACCUUCUACACCUUCCUAAUUCCUUACGCUCUUUCCCGAAACAUUAUCUUUUGGUCACUGUUGGAGAGAUGCUACGAAUAUUAUUUAUUAUGACACACCUACCUAACCAAAACAUGUCAAAAAUAGAAAUGACUUUACCAGGCCAAGUAGUCAAUAUUGUUUGUCAUACCUCCAAGAGAUCUGAUCCUCAGUAAGGAAGUAAAUAGAACCAAAUUGAAGAAAAAAGUCUGAAGAGAAUAACACCUGAGGCUGGCAGGAGAUAUCUGAGAGUGAGAACUGAAGACAUUGGGCAUUAAGUGUACAAGAGGACUAGAAGGCUGGUUCUGUGCUGCAGAGGAGAUGGAAGUUAUAAUAUCAUCUGCCUCUGUACUUAACCGUGCAGGGAGCUAGAAAGCUUGAGGAAUCUGAGAGCUGGCGUUGGCAAGGCUCCCAAGGUACUGGAAUACCUAAGAACAUGGUUUGCCGAAGAAUAGCUCUGAACACAAGAGGAAACUAGUAGAAGCACAGAUGUUUACAGGAACAUAUUCACAGUCCAGCAGAAGCUGCUCAAAAAUGUAGAUGCAUGCUUCUUGUACAAAUCUGUGCUGUUUGCACAAGUACAGAGUUUACCUUUCUAUUUAGUUUCAUAAAGACACUUUGAAGAAAAUUCUCCAAAAGAAUAAACAAACACAUACAAAUUUGAAAAUAUUGACA